rnacentral:rRNA from 1 species
GACGAACGCUGGCGGCGUGCUUAACACAUGCAAGUCGAACGGUGAUGCUCCAGCUUGCUGGAGUGGAUCAGUGGCGAACGGGUGAGUAACACGUGAGCAACCUGCCCCAGACUCUGGAAUAAGCGCUGGAAACGGCGUCUAAUACUGGAUACGAAACUGGCCCGCAUGGGCAUGGUUUGUAAAGUUUUUCGGUUUGGGAUGGGCUCGCGGCCUAUCAGCUUGUUGGUGAGGUAAUGGCUCACCAAGGCGACGACGGGUAGCCGGCCUGAGAGGGCGACCGGCCACACGGGGACUGAGACACGGCCCAGACGCCUACGGGAGGCAGCAGUGGGGAAUAUUGCACAAUGGGCGAAAGCCUGAUGCAGCGACGCCGGGUGAGGGAUGACGGCCUUCGGGUUGUAAACCUCUUUCAGCAGGGAAGAAGCGAAAGUGACGGUACCUGCAGAAGAAGCACCGGCUAACUACGU